AGUGAACGCUGGCGGUAGGCCUAACACAUGCAAGUCGAACGGCAGCACAGUAAGAGCUUGCUCUUACGGGUGACGAGUGGCGGACGGGUGAGGAAUACAUCGGAAUCUACUUUUUCGUGGGGGAUAACGUAGGGAAACUUACGCUAAUACCGCAUACGACCUACGGGUGAAAGCAGGGGAUCUUCGGACCUUGCGCGAUUGAAUGAGCCGAUGUCGGAUUAGCUAGUUGGCGGGGUAAAGGCCCACCAAGGCGACGAUCCGUAGCUGGUCUGAGAGGAUGAUCAGCCACACUGGAACUGAGACACGGUCCAGACUCCUACGGGAGGCAGCAGUGGGGAAUAUUGGACAAUGGGCGCAAGCCUGAUCCAGCCAUACCGCGUGGGUGAAGAAGGCCUUCGGGUUGUAAAGCCCUUUUGUUGGGAAAGAAAAGCAGCAGGUUAAUACCCCGCUGUUCUGACGGUACCCAAAGAAUAAGCACCGGCUAACUUCGU
rnacentral:rRNA from 1 species